AUUGAACGCUGGCGGCAUGCUUUACACAUGCAAGUAGAACGGUAACAGGUUAAGCUGACGAGUGGCGAACGGGUGAGUAAUGUAUCGGAACGUGCCCAAUAGUGGGGGAUAGCCCGGCGAAAGCCGGAUUAAUACCGCAUGAGACCUGAGGGUGAAAGCGGGGGAUCGCAAGACCUCGCGCUGCUGGAGCGGCCGAUAUCAGAUUAGGUAGUUGGUGGGGUAAAGGCCCACCAAGCCAACGAUCUGUAGCUGGUCUGAGAGGACGACCAGCCACACUGGAACUGAGACACGGUCCAGACUCCUACGGGAGGCAGCAGUGGGGAAUUUUGGACAAUGGGCGAAAGCCUGAUCCAGCCAUUCCGCGUGCAGGAUGAAGGCCCUCGGGUUGUAAACUGCCUUUGUACAGAACGAAAAGGUUUCUACUAAUACUAGGAGCUCAUGACGGUACUGUAAGAAUAAGCACCGGCUAACUACGUGCCAGCAGCCGCAGUAA
rnacentral:rRNA from 1 species